rnacentral:tRNA from 1 species
ACUUAAAUAAUUUAAAAAAAAUAUUGAUUUGUGGAGUCAAAAAUAUGAAGAAAUCAUUUUAGGUU